rnacentral:rRNA from 1 species
GAUGAACGCUGGCGGCGUGCCUAAUACAUGCAAGUCGAGCGAACAGACGAGGAUCUUGCUCCUCUGACGUUAGCGGCGGACGGGUGAGUAACACGUGGAUAACCUACCUAUAAGACUGGGAUAACUUCGGGAAACCGGAUCUAAUACCGGAUAAUAUAUUGAACCGCAUGGUUCAAUAGUGAAAGACGGUUUUGCUGUCACUUAUAGAUGGAUCCGCGCCGCAUUAGCUAGUUGGUAAGGUAACGGCUUACCAAGGCAACGAUGCGUAGCCGACCUGAGAGGGUGAUCGGCCACACUGGAACUGAGAAACGGUCCAGACUCCUACGGGAGGCAGCAGGAGGGAAUCUUCCGCAAUGGGCGAAAGCUUGACGGAACAAAGCCGCGGGAGUGAUGAAGGUCUUCGGAUCGUAAAACUCUGUUAUUAGGGAAGAACAAAUGUGUAAGUAACUAUGCACGUCUUGACGGUAACUAGUCAGAAAGCCACGGCUAACUACGUG